UACGUAGGGUCCGAGCGUUGUCCGGAAUUACUGGGCGUAAAGAGCUCGUAGGUGGUUUGUCGCGUUGUCCGUGAAAACUCACAGCUCAACUGUGGGCGUGCGGGCGAUACGGGCAGACUGGAGUACUGCAGGGGAGACUGGAAUUCCUGGUGUAGCGGUGGAAUGCGCAGAUAUCAGGAGGAACACCAAUGGCGAAGGCAGCUCGCUGGGACGGUACUGACGCUGAGGUGCGAAAGCAUGGGGAGCGAACAGG
rnacentral:rRNA from 1 species